UUUAAUUGAAGAGUUUGAUCAUGGCUCAGAUUGAACGCUGGCGGCAGGCCUAACACAUGCAAGUCGAGCGGAAACGAAGAGGUGCUUGCACCUUUGGCGUCGAGCGGCGGACGGGUGAGUAAUGCUUGGGAAUAUGCCUUAUGGUGGGGGACAACAGUUGGAAACGACUGCUAAUACCGCAUGAUGUCUACGGACCAAAGUGGGGGACCUUCGGGCCUCACGCCAUAAGAUUAGCCCAAGUGGGAUUAGCUAGUUGGUGAGGUAAUGGCU
rnacentral:rRNA from 1 species